rnacentral:rRNA from 1 species
UCCCCAGACUCCUACGGGAGGCAGCAGUGGGGGAUAUUGCACAAUGGGGGGAACCCUGAUGCAGCGACGCCGCGUGGGUGAAGGAGUGCUUCGGCCUGUAAAGCCCUAUCGGCAGGGAAGAAGCAAGACGGUACCUGACUAAGGAGCCCCGGCUAACUACGUGCCAGCAGCCGCGGUAAUACGUAGGGGGCGAGCGUUAUCCGGAUUCACUGGGUGUAAAGGGAGCGUAGACGGCCAUGCAAGCCAGGGGUGAAAGCCCGGGGCCCAACCCCGGGACUGCCCUUGGAACUGCAUGGCUGGAGUGCGGGAGGGGCAGGCGGAAUUCCUGGUGUAGCGGUGAAAUGCGUAGAUAUCAGGAGGAACACCGGCGGCGAAGGCGGCCUGCUGGACCGCGACUGACGUUGAGGCUCGAAAGCGUGGGGAGCAAACAGGAUUAGAUACCCUUGUAUAU